GGGGAAUAUUGGGCAAUGGGCGAAAGCCUGACCCAGCAACGCCGCGUGAAGGAAGAAGGUUUUCGGAUCGUAAACUUCUAUCCCAGAUGAAGAUAAUGACGGUAAUCUGGAAGGAAGCCCCGGCUAACUACGUGCCAGCAGCCGCGGUAAUACGUAGGGGGCAAGCGUUGUCCGGAAUGAUUGGGCGUAAAGGGCGCGUAGGCGGCCUUUUAAGUCCGAUGUGAAAGUCCUGCUUUUAAGGUGGGAAUUGCAUUGGAAACUGGAAGGCUUGAGUGCAGGAGAGGUAAGUGGAAUUCCCGGUGUAGCGGUGAAAUGCGUAGAGAUCGGGAGGAACACCAGUGGCGAAGGCGACUUACUGGACUGUAACUGACGCUGAGGCGCGAAAGUGUGGGGAGCAAACA
rnacentral:rRNA from 1 species